CCAAAGGUGUCAUCGUUGAACUGGUCGAUGUCCUCAUCCUCCUCGCCCAGGGCCUGGAAGGCAUCCUCAUCCUCGUCCAGCGGGCAGUCCUCCAGGGACUUGGACAGCCGGGAAUGGGCUCUGUCACAUCCCGUGCUGCCCGGGGGCCACCCCAGCUGCCGCCCGGAGCGGGUCCGGUGUCGCCGGUGCCCCAGGUGAAGGGGCGGCUCCACCUCGUCCCUCCCCUCGGCGCCUUCCCCGUGCCCGUCACUGGGGAUUAGCGCAGGGACAGCCCCGGGCUCGGCGACAGGCACACGGGACAGGGCCACCCGCCACCUCGCCUGGAUGUAGGAGGCCUGGCCGAGCGGCGAGGACCGAGGGUGACAUCGCCCAUCCCUGCGCUGGGCGAGGACGGGGACCCCCCCGCGCCCCCCCAGCCUUUGGGGGCACCAUGAAGGACCGGCUGGAGCAGCUCAAGGCGAAGCAGGAUGCGGAUGACGAGGAGGAGCUGGAGAUCGCCGUGGACAACACGGCGUUCAUGGACGAGUUCUUCUCGGAGAUUGAGGAGACACGGCAGAACAUCGACAAGAUCUCGGAGAAUGUGGAGGAAGCCAAGAAGCUCUACAGCAUCAUCCUCUCAGCCCCCAUCCCAGAGCAGAAGACCAAAGAUGACCUGGAGCAGCUGACGGCAGAGAUCAAGAAAAUGGCCAACAGUGUCCGUAACAAGCUGAAGAGUAUGGAGAGGAACAUUGAGCAGGACGAGGCACGAUCCUCCGCUGACCUCCGGAUACGCAAGUCCCAGCACUCGGUCCUGUCCCGCAAGUUCGUGGAUGUCAUGACCAAGUACAACGAGGCGCAGGUGGAUUUCCGGGAGCGGAGCAAGGGCCGGAUCCAGCGCCAGCUGGAAAUCACCGGCAAGAACACCACGGACGAGGAGCUGGAGGAGAUGCUGGAGAGCGGGAACCCCUCCAUCUUCACCUCGGGGAUCAUGGACUCGCAGAUCUCGAAGCAGGCGCUGAGCGAGAUCGAGGGGCGGCACAAGGACAUCGUGCGCCUGGAGAGCAGCAUCAAGGAGCUGCACGACAUGUUCGUGGACAUCGCCAUGCUGGUGGAGAAUCAGGGAGCCAUGAUCGACCGCAUAGAGAACAACAUGGACCAGUCUGUGGGAUUCGUGGAACGGGCUGUGGCCGACACCAAAAAGGCUGUGAAGUACCAAAGUGAGGCCAGGAGGACACUCCCGACCAUCCCGGCGCUGUCGCCUCCCGGCGGGAUCCUCCCCGGCACUGAUCCUGGACCCCUCCUCUCCCUGCUCCUCCCGGACCUGCUGCUCCCGACCCUCCGUGUCCCGCUUCCCGCCGCGGGCUCCAGCUCCGCCGCCCUUCCCGCCCGUCCUGCCGGUCCCUGGGCUCUGCCCCUCGUGUCCCCACGGAAAGGGGACAGGAUUCCGUCCGUGGGGGCGCGGCCGCUGAUGCCACAGCCCCAGCGAAGGGUGACAAGGACACAAAUCCGAGGCCCGGACGCUGACCCGUGCGGGCAUCCCGGUGGAAUGAGGGCGGGAAUAGGGACAGGAGGCGGGGUUUGGUGGCACCGCGUGGUUUGUUGUCACUGCGCUGUGACAGAGGGAGCUGUCAGUCCCCUCUUGGCUUUGAUGUCCAGGCGGGAGGAUGUGUUGAUCGUGGAUAUUUAACUCCCGCUGUAAUAAAAUCCCGCUGAUUCCCGCCCCGCGCCUCCUCUCCGUGCCGGCACCGGGAACACCCAAAGCCACCAGCACGGCUCCGGCUCAGCUCCCGGUGUCCGGGGACUUCGGGGCUGGGCCGGGCCCGUUUCCCGGUGCUGUAGGACACGAGGGGGAAGCGCCAGGCUGGGGACACCCCCAACUCCCGGGCCCUGUCCGGACUGUCCCCUCCCACCAAGUUUUUGGAAGAAGAUCAUGAUCAUGUUGUGCUGCAUCAUCCUCGCCAUCAUCCUGGCAUCCAGCAUCGCCAGCAUCUUCUCCUGAGCCCUGCACCCGCUGCCCUCCAGGUGGCCUUUCCCCCUCCUGCCCCCCUGCCUGGAUGAUCCAUCGGAGAGACCCCGGCCGAGCCCCGAUCCCCGGAGCCCCGAGGACGUCCCGCGUGUCCCUUGGGGAGUGGAGCCCGCCCAGCACGCUCCCCACCCCCCUCCCAGCACCAAGGCCCCCUCGCUCCUCCUCCUCCUCCACUCCUGGGUGGCACGGAGCGGCUGGAGGGGCCGUGUCCCUCUCCAGGGGGGGGACACCGGGCUCUGCCUUUCCGGGGCGGCCGGAGGAGCCUCUCCCUGUGCUUGGAGCUCCUUGGAUGUGCAGCCACCCACGCUGGAGCCUUCCUCCUCAAUAAAGAGCUCACCCACACUCUGCCUCCCGGCUCCUGCCUGAUCCAUGGAUCCCUCGGGAUGCUCCCAGCUCUAAAACCCACUUCAGGAUAGAGAGCCUCGUAC